rnacentral:rRNA from 1 species
UUAAUUCGAUGCAACGCGAAAAACCUUACCAAGGUUUGAAAUCAUUUCAAAACUCUUUGAAAGAAGAGCCUCCUUCGGGAUGAAAUGACAGGUGGUGCAUGGCUGUCGUCAGCUCGUGUUGUGAAAUGUCAAGUUAAGUCUUGUAACGAGCGCAACCCAUGUCUUUUGUUGCUGUUUUCAGUGCUUAAAAGAGACUGCCGCUCUACAGCGGAGGAAGGUGUGGAUGAUGUCAAGCCAGCAUGCCCCUUAUAUCUUGGGCUACACACGUACUACAAUGGUAGGGACAAUGAGUCGCAAACCUGCGAAGGCUAGCCAAUCUCAAAAACCCUAUCUCAGUUCGGAUUGUACUCUGCAACUCGAGUGCAUGAAGGUGGAAUCGCUAGUAAUCGCUGGUCAGCAUACAGCGGUGAAUACGUUCCCGGGUCUUGUACAUACUGCCCGUCACACCAUGGAAGUCGACUCUUCCCUAAGUCGUUACUCGAACCGUAAGGACGAGGAUGCCGAAGGCAGGGUUGGUGACUGGGGUGAAGUCGUAACAAGGUAACC